CCCCCCCCCCCCCCCCCCCCCCCCCCCGGGCGAAAAGACGAAGCUAGCCACCAAAAAUUCCUGUAGACUUCACUAAGACGAUUCAAAUCUUGAAUAGCUGCCAGAUGCAUCGUUAAUGUAAAUGCACAUAGCCUAUUUCUACCAUGCAUAAUGUUGGUCAACAAAUUUAGAUUUAGAAUCAGAGAUUACCCUACUGCAACUAUAGAUGGAGAGAAAGUACUUGUAAAGAGAAAAGCUGAAUUGUUAAGAAAGGAAGAAGAUCUUCAAAAGAGAGAGGAAGAUAUUUGGAAGAGGAAGUUGGGACUCCACAACAAUCAAGUCGAGUUUUGAAGGCAAGAAGCAGAUAUGUGGUGUUUCAUGUGUAUUGAGAUCAAAGUGAAGCCCCAACUUAUUGGGAUACAUCGACCAACCAGUUGAUGACUUUGUUAUUAGAGGGUCUUAGUGUUUGUUAGGAGACAAAUUAUUGGAAAAUCUGUUGUUAGUGACUUUAUAUUGUUGUUGGAAGGAAUCUUCGAAUUCAGUACUUUAGUGACUCUAUUUUUUUUUGAACACUUUCAUGUUAAUUAAAUUGGAUUCAUUUCCACCAAAA